rnacentral:snRNA from 17 species
AGCUUUGCGCAGUGGCAGUAUCGUAGCCAAUGAGGUUUAUCCGAGGUGCAAUUAUUGCUAAUUGAAAAAAAGAUUUUAAUUUUAACUAAAGAGUAAAGUCACCCAUCCCUAGUUUCUCCUUUAAGUUCACUC